UACGUAGGUGGCAAGCGUUGUCCGGAUUUAUUGGGUUUAAAGGGUGCGUAGGCGGCUUUGUAAGUCAGUGGUGAAAUAUGGCAGCUCAACUGUCAAGGUGCCAUUGAUACUGCGGAGCUUGAGUACAGAUGAGGUAGGCGGAAUUGACGGUGUAGCGGUGAAAUGCUUAGAUAUCGUCAAGAACACCUAUAGCGAAGGCAGCUUACUAGGCUGUAACUGACGCUGAGGCACGAAAAGUGUGGGGAUCAAAACAGG
rnacentral:rRNA from 1 species